rnacentral:other from 1 species
UAUCUCCUGCGGCGUUCGAGGUAUAUCGGGUGUUUCCUGAACCUGUAUUACCCUCGGAAGCUGGUUUUGUUACUGUGUGCAUACCCUUUUAUUAGGGCAGCCUGAUUUAACAAACGACGCUUCCACUUGAACCGCUGGUUCAAGGACGAAGAUGUAUACGGCGCAGGUGGGGGAUAC